AUUGAACGCUGGCGGCAGGCCUAACACAUGCAAGUCGAACGAGUGGCGGACGGGUGAGUAAUGUCUGGGAAACUGCCUGAUGGAGGGGGAUAACUACUGGAAACGGUAGCUAAUACCGCAUACCAUCGGAUGUGCCCAGAUGGGAUUAGCUAGUGGGUGGGGUAAAGGCUCACCUAGGCGACGAUCCCUAGCUGGUCUGAGAGGAUGACCAGAAACACUGGAACAGAGACACGGUCCAGAAGGCGACGUGAAGCAGCAGUGGGGAAUAUUGCUCAAUGGGCGCAAGCCUGAUGCAGCCAUGCCGCGUGUAUGAAGAAGGCCUUCGGGUUGUAAAGUACUUUCAGCGAGGAGGCGUUACCCGCAGAAGAAGCACCGGCUAACUCCGUGCCAGGGGCCGGGGUAAUAG
rnacentral:rRNA from 1 species